AUUGAACGCUGGCGGAAUGCUUUACACAUGCAAGUCGAGCGGCAGCGCGGGGGCAACCCUGGCGGCGAGCGGCGAACGGGUGAGUAACGCAUCGGAACGUACCUUGUAGUGGGGGAUAACUAUCCGAAAGGAUAGCUAAUACCGCAUACGCCCUGAGGGGGAAAGGGGGGGAUCGCAAGACCUCUCGCUACAGGAGCGGCCGAUGUCCGAUUAACUAGUUGGUGAGGUAAAGGCUCACCAAGGCGACGAUCGGUAGCUGGUCUGAGAGGAUGAUCAGCCACACUGGGACUGAGACACGGCCCAGACUCCUACGGGAGGCAGCAGUGGGGAAUUUUGGACAAUGGGGGGCAACCCUGAUCCAGCCAUUCCGCGUGAGUGAAGAAGGCC
rnacentral:rRNA from 1 species